rnacentral:rRNA from 1 species
UAUCAGCCUUUCGGGUGCGAUUCUGUGGGGUUUGAGGAGCUUAACACCUUCAUGCUUUGCAUAUUCGUGCUCUUGGGUGUACUUGCCCGUGUGGUUGGUUAACAUCAAUUUCGGGCACCAUAAAAUGACUGGAGGAAUGUAGCUUCGAUCUUGUAUUGAAGUGUUAUAGCCUUCGGUAGAUGUGGUGAUCGAGAUUGAGGAUUGCAACGGAUACCUUUCGGGGCUACCUGUCUGAUCUCUGAUCGUUGCUUUGGUGCUGAAAGCGUGCUUAUAGUUAUCAAAGUCGAUGGUCAAUAGGUUAGAAUGGGUUAAA